AUGAGGAAGACAGAACUCGGGUUGCCGAGAAGCGGUAGUAUGAAGCCACUUGGAGCUAUCUUUGUGCAGGGUAUAACUAAGGUGGCCGACCCAAUGGUUGAGACCGGAGAUGCUUGGAACCAGGCCAUAGUCGAUGAUAUGUUCUUGCCGGAUGAUGCGCUAGAUAUCAAACAGAUUGCUAUCGGGGGGCUGGCAAUGGAGGACUGCUUAGCAUGGAACUACACAAAGAACGGUAUGUUCACAGUGUGUUCCACUUAUCACCUCAGGAUGACCAUUAAUAGGCUGAAAACCGGACGGCCGGAAGCAGCGUCUUCAGUUAACAAACAUCAAGGGUACUUGGGUCUUUGGGAUACAAACGCAUCAAAUAAAGCUAAAAUUCACAUGUGGAGGGUCAUUAGGAACGGUCUGUCUGUUGGUGCGGAGCUAUUUCGAUGGAGAAUCAAGCCAGGAGUAUUUUGUGUAGUGUGCGGGCGGGAGGAGACUAUCAUGCACAGAUUUUGGACGUGCCAACACUCUGUCCAGUUUUGGGACCAGUUACACUCGGAAAAGGGAGUUUCGGUGCCAGCCCCACCGGUUUUCACAUGCUCUUAG
rnacentral:rRNA from 1 species